rnacentral:rRNA from 1 species
UUGCAGAUGACUGAUUAGUAGCGAACGGGUGAGUAACACGUGGGAAAUCUACCCAUGAGUGGGGAAUAACAUUCGGAAACGGAUGCUAAUACCGCAUAAGUUCUUUGACCUCCUGGUCUUUGAAUAAAAGACGGCCUUUGUGCUGUCACUCAUGGAUGAUCCCGCGGCGUAUUAGUUAGUUGGUGAGGUAAUGGCUCACCAAGACCAUGAUACGUAGCCGACCUGAGAGGGUGAUCGGCCACACUGGGACUGAGAACGGCCCAGACUCC